UUCCAGACUCCUACGGGAGGCAGCAGUGAGGAAUAUUGGUCAAUGGGCGGGAGCCUGAACCAGCCAAGUCGCGUGAGGGAAGAAGGUACUGAGUAUUGUAAACCUCUUUUGCCAGGGGACAAAGGCGGCCACGGGUGGCCGUAAGAGGGUACCUGGAGAAAAAGCAUCGGCUAACUCCGUGCCAGCAGCCGCGGUAAUACGGAGGAUGCGAGCGUUAUCCGGAUUUAUUGGGUUUAAAGGGUGCGUAGGCGGGCUUUUAAGUCAGCGGUAAAAAUUCGGGGCUCAACCCCGUCCGGCCGUUGAAACUGGGGGCCUUGAGUGGGCGAGAAGAAGGCGGAAUGCGUGGUGUAGCGGUGAAAUGCAUAGAUAUCACGCAGAACCCCGAUUGCGAAGGCAGCCUUCCGGCGCCCUACUGACGCUGAGGCACGAAAGUGCGGGGAUCGAACAGGAUUAGAUACCCCUGUA
rnacentral:rRNA from 1 species